AGUGAACGCUGGCGGUAGGCCUAACACAUGCAAGUCGAACGGCAGCACAGAGGAGCUUGCUCCUUGGGUGGCGAGUGGCGGACGGGUGAGGAAUACAUCGGAAUCUACUCUGUCGUGGGGGAUAACGUAGGGAAACUUACGCUAAUACCGCAUACGACCUACGGGUGAAAGCAGGGGAUCUUCGGACCUUGCGCGAUUGAAUGAGCCGAUGUCGGAUUAGCUAGUUGGCGGGGUAAAGGCCCACCAAGGCGACGAUCCGUAGCUGGUCCGAGAGGAUGAUCAGCCACACUGGAACUGAGACACGGUCCAGACUCCUACGGGAGGCAGCAGUGGGGAAUAUUGGACAAUGGGCGCAAGCCUGAUCCAGCCAUACCGCGUGGGUGAAGAAGGCCCUCGGGUUGUAAAGCCCUUUUGUUGGGAAAGAAAUCCGGCUGGUUAAUACCCGGUUGGGAUGACGGUACCCAAAGAAUAAGCACCGGCUAACUUCGUGCCAGCCGCCGCAGUAA
rnacentral:rRNA from 1 species